rnacentral:RNase_P_RNA from 1 species
CGAAUCGGGUAAUCGAGCACGCAAGUGUUAGGAAAGUCCAUGCUAGCACAAGCUGAGAUGCUUGUAGUGAUUGUGCUAAACGAAAAAAUAAGUUUAGGCGCCUUUCAAGGCGACGGCGGAGAAAUGAAUGUCAAAGGUCAAAGUAUCCAUAAAGUGCCACAGAGACGAGUCAUAUAAAAUAUAUAUGAAUGAAACGUUGGUAAACCCCGCAAGCUAGAAACCCAAAUUUAGGUAGGGGCACGGAAAAGCAAGAACUCAAUUGCAAUUCCGACAUCGCUGUAGAUAGAUGAUUACCGCACGCAAGUGUACAGAACAUGGCUUACAGAU